rnacentral:ncRNA from 1 species
CUGUGAAAAGGGAUAGUAAGCUAAAUUUCUUCAUUUACAGAAAACCCUGGUUGAUGAGAAUGGGAGCUGCAGAAUUAGCUGAACAGGCCUUGGAGCAUUGCACCGAAAUCAUUAGUAGGCUGCAACGGCUGCACCCGUUACCGUGCUAUAGUAUACUCACAUUUCAUGUGACGUACUGGACAAGACCUUUGCCGCAAGACAACGGUAAACCGGGGUGGUACCACGAAGCAAAAGCUCUCGUCCCCAGG